UGCGAACUCCUACGGGAGGCAGCAGUGGGGAAUCUUCCGCAAUGGGCGAAAGCCUGACGGAGCAACGCCGCGUGAGUGAUGACGGCCUUCGGGUUGUAAAACUCUGUGAUCCGGGACGAAAAGGCAGAGUGCGAAGAACAAACUGCAUUGACGGUACCGGAAAAGCAAGCCACGGCUAACUACGUGCCAGCAGCCGCGGUAAUACGUAGGUGGCAAGCGUUGUCCGGAAUUAUUGGGCGUAAAGCGCGCGCAGGCGGCUUCCCAAGUCCCUCUUAAAAGUGCGGGGCUUAACCCCGUGAUGGGAAGGAAACUGGGAAGCUGGAGUAUCGGAGAGGAAAGUGGAAUUCCUAGUGUAGCGGUGAAAUGCGUAGAGAUUAGGAAGAACACCGGUGGCGAAGGCGACUUUCUGGACGAAAACUGACGCUGAGGCGCGAAAGCGUGGGGAGCAAACAGGAUUAGAUACCCUUGUAGUCCU
rnacentral:rRNA from 1 species